GAUGAACGCUAGCGACAGGCUUAACACAUGCAAGUCGAGGGGCAGCGAGGGCGUAGCAAUACGCCUGUCCGGCGACCGGCGCACUGGUGAGUAACACGUAUGCGACCUGCCCCCUACAGGGGGUAUAACCCCGGUGAAAAACCGGCCUAAUACCGUAUGAGGUCACAAGCGGACAUCCAACUGUGACGAAAGGCUUUGCGGUGAUGGAUGGGGAUGCGUCCGAUUAGCUUGACGGCGGGGUAACGGCCCACCGUGGCUACGAUCAGUAGGGGUUCUGAGAGGAAGGUCCCCCCACAUUGGAACUGAGACACGGUCCAAACUCCUACGGGAGGCAGCAGUGAGGAAUAUUGGUCAAUGGGCGGAAGCCUGAACCAGCCAAGUAGCGUGAGGGAUGACUGCCCUAUGGGUUGUAAACCUCUUUUAUAAGGGAAUAAAAUACGGGACGUGUCAUGUUUUGCAUGUACCUUAUGAAUAAGGACCGGCUAAUUCCGUG
rnacentral:rRNA from 1 species